AGAGCAAAGACACAUUUUAGGAUCAAAGGUUGAUGCCUAGUGUACCUGUGGAACAUUUUGCCUAUGGAGUAGCGACCCUCCUGUUCGUGGACGCGCGGGCAGGACCGGCGGCGUCCGGAUGCCGAGGUGGUGACUUGGGGAGGUGAGGGCCCCCGCAUAGCUACGGAAUAACACUGGGACCGCAGCGUAAUCGCGGGUUCACAUUUAUUCCGGACUAGAACAAGACACAUUUUGCGAACAAAGGUUGAGUCUAGAUUAGUAAAGAAAUAAAAAGGUUAAAUUCCUCGUUUCAGUGGUUAAAAUUGUUGUGUGCCUGUCCCCUGACGAGUGUGAAAUUAAAUAAAGAGGGAAUUUGGAGCCACAUAGAGAUAGACGGGCAUAAUUGGGUGUAUUACUCUGUGGUGUAAUAAAAAAAUAAAAAUAAAAAAGAGAGAUAGUAAGAGGUGUGUAGUGGAGAAUUAUGACGCUGUCAAGGUAGGCGUGUUGCCUGCUUAUCUGUUUAACAUGUGAUGAAAAUGAAAUUAAAUAAAUCUCUUAGUGUGUUAAUACAGGAAGCUGCGGACCUGGACCAACUGCCCCCACAAGCACAGCGGCCGAAGCAAAAUUAUAGGUAAUGGGAACCACACCCAGCACGAAUCAGCAGCUGUGAAAAAGACAGCAGCGAGGAGAGAAUUAGAGGAGAAAUUAAGAGAAGUUUUAACACAUAAAAUUGGGGCCAACGGACUUGUGGAGGUUGGGAAGGCGUCCGGAGCAUCACAACAAAAAGGUGAAACAAAAACACACAAGCAGAGAAAUCUGAGAGAAAGGCUCCUUUUAAGGUAACGCCUAGUUUGAGAAAAAGAUCAAAUUAACCUGCUUGCCUACAAAUGCACAUACACGCAAUGAAGAAACAGCUUACACUCAUGAACACGUGAAGAUUUUCCAGCAAGGCUAAAGCAGCGAAACUUAACAUACAUCUGUUGUUAAAGGAUAAAUACAUUACUGACAAAUAAACCCUCUGGGUUGCAGGACAACAAUUUAACUUCAAAGAAAAA
ensembl:lncRNA